rnacentral:rRNA from 1 species
UACAGAGGUCCCAAGCGUUGUUCGGAUUCACUGGGCGUAAAGGGUGCGUAGGCGGUAAUGCAAGUCUGAUGUGAAAGCUCUGGGCCUAACCCAGAAAUUGCACUGGAAACUGCUUUGCUAGAGUCUUUAAGGGGAGGCUGGAAUUCUCGGUGUAGCAGUGAAAUGCGUAGAUAUCGAGAGGAACACCAGUAGCGAAAGCGAGCCUCUGGGAAAGAACUGACGCUGAGGCACGAAAGCUAGGGGAUCAAACAGG